UACGGAGGGUGCGAGCGUUGUCCGGAAUCACUGGGCGUAAAGGGCGCGUAGGCGGCGCGGGAAGUCCGUGGUGAAAGCCCGAGGCUCAACUUCGGGUCGGCCAUGGAUACUCCUGGGCUCGAGCACUGUAGAGGCAGGUGGAAUUCCGGGUGUAGCGGUGGAAUGCGUAGAGAUCCGGAAGAACACCGGUGGCGAAGGCGGCCUGCUGGGCAGUAGCUGACGCUGAGGAGCGAAAGUGUGGGGAGCGAACAGG
rnacentral:rRNA from 1 species